UAUUGCCCUUUUACAAGAAUGUCACCUACAUAAGAAUAAGAAAAUUACUAUUCCUGGCUAUAACGUUAUAUAUGACUACUCACCUAUAGGAGUGGCUAUAGUACUAAAAAAAUCAAUUAAAAACAACAGAAUUAAUAUUGCUGGAACAUCGCUCAGUAAUGUUUUUAUUCAAAUAGAACUCAUUGUUAAUAAUUACACCAAAAAGUUUUUAGUUGGUUCAGUAUACGUACCUUGCAUUCAUGCGGCUCAAGAGCUACACAACGACCUAAACAAGAUUCUUGAUGUGUCCAGAAAUUUUGAUGGGUUUGUAAUUGGCGGCGAUCUAAACGCUAAAAGCACUACUUGGGGAGACAGUUCAGAUAACGGUAAUGGGAGAACAAUCCGUAACUGGUUACAAGUCUUCCAACUUUUUCAGAUCAUUUUCCACUGAAUUUAAAACUGGAAUUCGGAUCAGGAAAUCUACAUCUUAGAAAUCCGUCAGUAAUAACAUCUUACAAAAACACCAAUUGGGACUUAUUUCGUAGAGACCUUGAAGCUGCAUCCUGUGAUAUUCUUCCACCUACCAUCUGUAAUUUAAAUAAUGAAAAUUUGGACUCAUUAAUUAAUGCAUUCAACUCAACAGUUGCUACAGUACAUAAUACUCAUUCGGAAAAAAUGGAAAUCACUGAUCGCAAGAGACCUUAUCCAGAAAACAUUAAAAAAUUGUUUAAAAUAAAGUACACAUGGCAGAAGGAGUUGAAAAAAAUCUUCCAUCGGAAUGGCAACAAACUUAAUCGUGAGUAUAGAAUAUUGUCAAAUCAAAUACAGCUGCUCAAAACAAUUAUUAAUGAACUGGUUAAUAUGGAAGAGACAAAACGAUUUAGCAAUAGGUUAUCAAAAAUCCAACCUGGUCCAACAGCAUUUAAAGAUAUAUAUCAAAUUACUGGAAAGUCUAAAUCGCCUUUUUGCCAUCAAAUUAUUAAUAAUAAUGGUAUAACAACAAAUCAUUCAGAAAUUGCUGUUAUUUUUAAAAACCACUUCUCUAAUGUCUUUAGUGUGGUAAAUCCUGUAAGGUCUGCCUCUAACGUUGAAAAUCAAAUUGCAAUAUCCAUCAAUGAUCUUCCUAGUAAUAUUUAUUCCUUUGACACAAAUUUUAAAGCAGACGAAAAUUCUGAUACUCUUCAUUUUAUAAAUAUUGAUACCAUAAGAUCCCAUAUUAAUAAUAUUAAUUGCAAGAAAUCAUAUGGGCUUGACAAUAUCUCAAAUUUCCUAAUUAAAAAAUUCCCUGACACAACGCUAAAACUACUCACGAUAAUCUUUAAUAAUUGCAUUAACAAUGGAUAUUUUCCAAAUGCCUGGAAAACCGCCAAAAUCCUGCCUAUCAAAAAGAAAAGAGACAGUAAGAAGCCAGAGGAAUUUCGACCGAUAUCCCUAUUGUCUAAUAUUGGCAAAUUAUUCGAGCGUAUACUGAAGGAAAAACUGGAAAAGGAAUUCAUCAUUGAACCUAUUCCAGAUUUCCAAUUUGGGUUCAGAAGACAUCAUUCAACUCAACAUGCUUUGCUAAAGUUUCAUAAUGACGUGGUCCACAAUCUAAGGGAGAAAAAAUGUUCUCUAGCUAUCUCAUUGGAUAUCGAAAAGGCUUUUGACUCCGUCUGUCAUAAAAGUCUAAUAUACAAACUUAUAAAUCUUAGCAUCGAUCCUUAUCUUCUGAAAAUAUUGAAUAGUUUUUUCACUAAAAGAGAAUUCUGCGUUCAAAUCAACAACACCACGUCAGAUACCAGCUUCGUCAACAUCGGAGUUCCUCAGGGCAGCAUAUUAGCGCCACUUCUUUUUAAUAUAUUCCUCCAUGAUUUCCCACAUCAGUACAACAACUCUAAGGCUAUUCUCUAUGCCGAUGAUUGCCUCAUUUAUGCUCAUGACAUCUCACCAUCAGAAGCUUUGAACAGGGCAGCUAUUCAUCUUGGCAUAAUAAACAAUUUUUAUAAUGAAUGGGGAAUAAGAAUUAAUGCUGCGAAGUCGGAAGCCAUUUGUAUCAGAAAUGCAUCCGGCAAAUGUGCAAAGUUUGUGGUCCCAGAGAGCAAAUCACUACAACUUUCUCUAAACGGUGUGGAAAUUCCUCUUAAAAACACUAUAAAGUACCUGGGAAUAAAAUUUGACAAACUGUUAAAAUUCAAUGGUAAUGCGAGAAAUCGUCUGGAAAAGGCAAGGAAAAUAUCAGGAAUGUUUUCAAGCCUUUUGUACAACAAAUACUUACCAAUAAGGACAAAACUUCUAAUUUAUAAAGUUGCAAUCAGAUCGGUCCUCAUCUACGGGUUUCCCAUUUGGUUCACUAUGUCGCCAACGGUGGCCAAGGAGAUUGAAAUCUUUGAACGUGUAAUACUGAGGAAGUGUAUUGGGAAAAAUUACCAGAAUGAGACAAAACGAUUCUCAAACAAUUACAUAUAUAAGAAUGCAGAUAUACUACCUUUUUGCCGAUAUGCCAUGGUACAACAAAAAAGUUUUGUUGAAAAGCUUUCAACACAUGACAACAUUCUUAUUGAACAAAUCUUUCAACAAGAGAAUCUGACAACUUGGACUUCCUUUCCGUACCUCUCUCCGAUAGGAAUUCUCCACGAGAACAUCAAUAAUGAUCCGGAUCCUUAUGCUUUGCCAUCAUUCUAUUUGAAAUCAGCACCUGGUGUACACAGAGGCUGAAAAUAUUAUUAUAAGAUUUUAUUAUUUGUAACUGUUACUAUUAUUAUUGUUGUAUAUAUAUUAUUAUUUUUUUUAAUUAAUCUGUGAUAUUUAUAAUAUUUACCUUUUAUUUUGACUAUAUGUUCCGUUCUCAUUGGAAAUUAUUGCAUUUAUAUGCUUUCGUAUUUUUAACUUACACACUUAGCUACAUAGUAUAUGUCUACAUUUAUGUUUUGUUUUGAUACACAAAUUCUGCAUUUAUAUGCUGUCGUCUACAAUAUAUUAUUUACAUUCUGUUUGUCAAUGUUAUUAACAGAAUAUUUGUUAUUUAUGUUUUUAAGUGUUAUUUAGUCUUAAGUUUGUUAUUUACAGACAUUCGCUCUGUUAGCCAAAGUAAAGACCGAAAGCAAGUCUUGUUUGUUUUCAUAUUCAUUUUGUAGAAAAUACAUAUCCUAUUUCAUUUAUCUACAUUGUUGUGUAAUAUCCUAUUUUUGUUAUUAGAGUAAGACAAAUAUAGCUCUAAGAAUUAUAUUGUUCUCAUUGUAUGUAAGACACGAAAAAUGUUAUCGAAAAGAAAAAAGACUUAAUAAAAAUUUACUUACUUACUUACUUAC